rnacentral:rRNA from 1 species
CGAGUGGCGGACGGGUGAGGAAUACAUCGGAAUCUACUCUGUCGUGGGGGAUAACGUAGGGAAACUUACGCUAAUACCGCAUACGACCUACGGGUGAAAGCAGGGGAUCUUCGGACCUUGCGCGAUUGAAUGAGCCGAUGUCGGAUUAGCUAGUUGGCGGGGUAAAGGCCCACCAAGGCGACGAUCCGUAACUGGUCUGAGAGGAUGAUCAGUCACACUGGAACUGAGACACGGUCCAGAUUCCUACGGGAGGCAGCAGAG